CCUACGGGAGGCAGCAGUGAGGAAUAUUGGUCAAUGGGCGCAAGCCUGAACCAGCCAUGCCGCGUGCAGGAUGACGGUCCUAUGGAUUGUAAACUGCUUUUGUACAGGAAGAAACACUGGUUCGUGAACCAGCUUGACGGUACUGUAAGAAUAAGGAUCGGCUAACUCCGUGCCAGCAGCCGCGGUAAU
rnacentral:rRNA from 1 species